AGCGGGACAAAGUGACGGCGCAAGAUGGCGUCGGAGCGGCCACAAGAUGGCGUCGUUGCCUUUCGGCGGGGACGCGCGGCCAUGUUGGCACUCGCCGCAGCCGCUCUGCCUCGCGGCCCCGUCCAGCAUGACUGUCACAGAAAGAAAAAGUACUGCUGAGGAGGCUGAUAGCCAUCAGGAGCAAGGAAGGGUACUGUUCCUCAAGCUCAAGCUCUUCCGAUCCUGUCUGCCCAUCUGCCAGCAUCCGUAACCUUUCUGUACAGUUGUAAUUGUACAGCUGUAAAGUGGACAAGUGACCAGAGGUUAUGCAGAAGAUAAACAACAAACACUCACUGAUGUUGAAGCUCACAGUAAGGACAGAUGCUCAACAAUAUCAAGGCUCCCUGCAAAACUUCACAUGGAAGCAACAUCUCCAAUAUCAAGUAAGCCC
rnacentral:lncRNA from 1 species